AGGAAGCAGGGUCAGGAAGGGGGCGAGGCUGGAAGCAGGCUUUAAGCCCUGUCAGCUCUGCACUGGGGUAUUUCAAGACAAGGCAGUUGGUGAUGAGGGGUUGCUUCUGAGUAUGGGAGCCAGGAGUUCUCUAGGAGAGGGAGCUGGCUGAUUACAGCAAGCCAGGAGGAUGACUCAAUUGACAAACAAACCUCCUCCCCUGGCUGUUCCUGAGGCUGACCUGUUUUUGCAAUCACUGGCACAGACAAAAGUGUGAGACAUCUGAGCAGAAUACAAGCUGGAUCAAGAGGAAGGCUGAUGAUCUGUACAACUCUUUCUUUCUUCAUCGUGGCAUUUUAUGUCCAUGUAAUUUGUUGUUUUUAACUGGACAUUCAGCACAAUUCAAAAAUUCUGCUUGAAAAUCUGACACAAUCCAACUGCCUGACAAUUUUAAAGUGUCGUCAUUCUAUUUCCAACACUUCUCAUGUCAGAUUGGGUCAACAGCCUACAACAUGCACAAACCAGAUGCCAACCCAAAGCAUAGAACGCAAGAUGCAAUUUUUCUAAACAUGGAAAAACCUAUAAUUUUACAUGCUCCCACACCUUGCAUUACACUGCUAAUGCAAGUAUGUCACCCAGAUGAAGUUUGCUGUGCAUGUAAACCAGCUUUCUGAGAAGAUAAAUUUCCCAGAGAUGUGAGUUUGGGGCACUAUACGGAAGGAAGGAAGGAAGGAAGGAAGGAAGGAAGGAAGGAAGGAAGGAAGGAAGGAAGGAAGGGACACUUCAAUUGUUUUCUAAAUUAGGGGAAAAUGUUGUUUAGGGUAAGAGAAUAGAAACACCCAGGUUUAAGUAGCAAUGUUUGCCUGUUUCUUUCACUCCAUAGCUUGCUUUGACAAAAAGGAACUUGAAUAUAAAACAAAUAUUUAUUUAUAAACAUGAUAUACUGAUGAACUGCAGUUAUUUCACAUAGUACAGGGAAUUAAUUUCAAGAGACCAUGGAGAGACAAAACUAGAUUUUCCCCACACUAAUGAAGACAAGAGGUCACAGAUUAGAAAGGGCCACAACUUAGUUAAUUCAAAUAGCCAAGAAAUCAAGGAUUUAGAAUUCCACCUCCUGCUACUGUUCAGGAUCUACUAAUUAAUAAAUUUACUUUAUUAUUUAUUUAGUUAAAAUAUUUAUAUUUUGCCCCAGCUGUACACUAUUGCUCAGGCAAUAAACAAUAAAAACAAUAUUAAACCAAUAAAAUAGAAACAAAACUAAGAACAAAUCUCAGUUAAAACCAGAAAUUAAUAGUCCAAGUUAAAAUUUUAAAAGAAGAAGACCCAUCUUUUCAGUUGUGGCCCUUCUGGCUGUGGCCCCUUGACUUUGGAUUGAUCUCUUGGAAUAGCUUUGCAAUGUUCCCUUCCUUAAGGUCUUUAAGAAAUUGUUGGAUUUCUAUGUGUUUCUCUAUGGUGAAAUACAAUUCCAGCAUCAUCUUCUGGACUUUAAUGUCCAGAAGUGGUGGAACCACCACAAUGCUCUGUGGAUUAAUUGUUUCAGGGCCUCUUGGGGAUGUCUGUUUCUCUUAUUCACUCUUACUAUUAGUUCUCUCAUCUCCCUAACUCUGUUCAUUGACCUCUCUGACCACAUAAGGUUACCUUAUGACAUAAUACAGAAAGGGCAAGUUAACAGUUUCUUAACAGUGUUGCAGGUUCUAAGAAGCUGAUAUUACAUCUUAGUAUGGUAGAACAGUCACACCUUGCUUCCUAAUAUCAGCAUAUUUUAACUGAUGUCUGAAGAGAUUUUAAGCUUGCCAUUUGUCUUCUGGUUGCCUUGACAUCAUUAGGACAGAAAAAAUUAUAGUGGCUGCAAUCCAGACUAAUGAAAUACAUGUGCAUGGUGUGAGACCUUAACCUACAGCCCAUCUAGUGGGCAAUUCCUACAUAUUAUUAAUUGGUAUCAAAUUGUUAAGUGUUCCAGAUGAUAUCAGCUGGGUCCAAAAUAGAGAUAUUCAAGUUCAAGCUUGUAAUCAAGUCCUGAGAAAUCAAAGAGCACGAGCUCAAAUUCAAGUUGGCCUUUUUUUUUUUUUAACCUCAGCCCAGUUUUGGAGGCUUGAAAGAGCUCAAAGAUGCUUGUGACAACUCAAGCAUACUUGCACCCUACCCCCCAACCUACCCUAAUUCCUGAGCUUACCAGACUGGUCCAGGGCCGGACUGGGGGCACUGAGAGGGUGGUGGAAUAUAUGUGGGGAGGGGGCAGGUUUUAAGCAG